rnacentral:rRNA from 1 species
CCCUUAGAUGUCCGGGGCCGCACGUGCGCUACACUGAAGGAAUCAGCGUGGCUUUCUCCCUGACCCGAAAGGGUUGGGAAACCCGUUGAAUCUCCUUCGUGAUAGGGAUUGGGGCUUGAAAUUGUUCCCCAUGAACGAGGAAUUCCCAGUAAGCGCGAGUCAUAAGCUCGCGUUGAUUACGUCCCUGCCCUUUGUACACACCGCCCGUCGCUACUACCGAUUGAACGGUUUAGUGAGGGCCUCGGAUUGGUCUCGGCCCGCUCUUUACCGGGCGGCGCCGUUGGUCGAGAAGACGCUCGAACUUGAUCGUUUAGAGGAAGUAAAAGUCGUAACA